rnacentral:rRNA from 1 species
UACAGAGGGCGCGAGCGUUGUCCGGAAUCACUGGGCGUAAAGGGCGCGUAGGCGGCCACUGCAAGUCGGUUGUGAAAUCUCCGGGCUUAACCCGGAAAGGUCAACCGAUACUGCAGGGCUAGAGUGCAGAAGGGGCAACUGGAAUUCUCGGUGUAGCGGUGAAAUGCGUAGAUAUCGAGAGGAACACCUGCGGCGAAGGCGGGUUGCUGGGCUGACACUGACGCUGAUGCGCGAAAGCUAGGGGAGCGAACGGG